rnacentral:rRNA from 1 species
CGGCAUGGGAUUGGGCAGCGGGUCUAGCUAUUAAACUAAAGAGGCAGAAACGGAGCCGAGUUAAGAGAGGAAGGAGGGCGCGAGAGCGACGAGGUUCGGUCUAGAUCCAAAAGCUAGCUAAAGCUGUCGGCAGCGAUACAGCAGGCAGCUCUAGGGCGACGCCCCGCGCUCGCGGUACGAGCAGUACUUGCCCAGAAAGUGGAAGCACCUAGGGCAGGUCGGCCGCGUCUACGCGCCGGGGCCGCCCUUCUUCUCUCUAGCGACGCCCCUAGAGGAAGAGCGGCUGCUGAGGCUCCGACGUCCAACCAGCAGCCGCUAGGACCUGGCGUCGGAGCGGGAGGCGGCAGCCGCUCCGGGUAGGGGGAGAAGGAAGGUGGCGCCGACGGAGCAGCACUGACUCCGCGUCUUGUCGGCACUGGUCCUCUGUCGAGGCCGUCAACACCGUCUUCUUUAGGACCUAGCCGUUCCCUCACUUUUCCUCGGCUGACAGCUCCUCGACCAGAUGACCUGUCAGUAGAUCAGCAUAGUUGGUUUAGGGGGACCAGCACGACUGGUUUAGCGGACUUCUUCCAAGUUAGAAAAUGGGACAGGAACACAAAUAAUGUCUCAGAAAAACUCCGGUAUACUUACUGAACGAAAGAAAACAAAAGGACAGUUACAGCCUCGUGUAUGUUGGCUUAAUUUGAGUGACUACCGGAAGUACAACGACUCACAACUCCUCCGUUGGUCUUCAUUAGCCUAAUGUUCAGGCUUUGUAGAUCGUCCUAUUCGACCUUCCGUUUCCGACCCUUCUCCUCAGCGACUAACCACCCCUACCGCUCCUCAAGAAGAUGAAUCAACAGUAGAUCAGCCUCAAGAAGAUGAAUCAACAGUAGAUCAGCUUAGAAAGGAUGAAAACAUCGUUCUCAAGGAGGAUACCAACAGAUAGCUACACAAAUAUGGUUAACUACCCGAGACAAUCCGACAAUGUCUCAGGCCAAGUACACAAGUUCAGCUGUUCAAUCCUACAUUAGGCGAACAAACUAUUUAUUUAACUAGAUGAAUUCGACUC